GUGGGGAAUAUUGGACAAUGGGGGGAACCCUGAUCCAGCCAUGCCGCGUGUGUGAAGAAGGCCUUUUGGUUGUAAAGCACUUUAAGCGAGGAGGAGGCUACCGAGAUUAAUACUCUUGGAUAGUGGACGUUACUCGCAGAAUAAGCACCGGCUAACUCUGUGCCAGCAGCCGCGGUAAUACAGAGGGUGCAAGCGUUAAUCGGAUUUACUGGGCGUAAAGCGCGCGUAGGUGGCCAAUUAAGUCAAAUGUGAAAUCCCCGAGCUUAACUUGGGAAUUGCAUUCGAUACUGGUUGGCUAGAGUAUGGGAGAGGAUGGUAGAAUUCCAGGUGUAGCGGUGAAAUGCGUAGAGAUCUGGAGGAAUACCGAUGGCGAAGGCAGCCAUCUGGCCUAAUACUGACGCUGAGGUACGAAAGCAUGGGGAGCAAACAGGAUUAGAAACCCCAGUAGUCC
rnacentral:rRNA from 1 species